rnacentral:misc_RNA from 1 species
UCCGGCUUAUCACCGGCAGUCCCUUUAGAGUGCCCAACUAAAUGAUGGCAACUAAAGGCGAGGGUUGCGCUCGUUGCGGGACUUAACCCAACAUCCCACGACACGAGCUGACGACAGCCAUGCACCACCUGUGCAAGGCCCUUGCGGACCUCCCAUCUCUGGGAGAUUUCCCUGCAUGUCAAACCCAGGUAAGGUUCUUCGCGUUGCCUCGAAUUAAGCCACAUGCUCCGCCGCUUGUGCGGGCCCCCGUCAAUUCCUUUGAGUUUUAAGCUUGCGCUCGUAGUUCCCAGGCGGGCCACUUCCCGCGUUAGCUAAGGCCCCCAGAGACAGAGAAUCUGCCUCCAAAGGCCGAGUAGCCAUCGUUUACGGCGUGGACUAC